rnacentral:rRNA from 1 species
AUUGAACGCUGGCGGCAUGCUUUACACAUGCAAGUCGAACGGUAACAGGCCUUCUGGUGCUGACGAGUGGCGAACGGGCGAGUAAUGCAUCGGAACGUACCCAGAGGUUGGGGAUAACGCAGCGAAAGCUGUGCUAAUACCGCAUGUGAUCUGAGGAUGAAAGCGGGGGACCGAGCAGCAAUGUUUGGCCUCGCGCCUUUGGAGCGGCCGAUGUCGGAUUAGCUAGUUGGUGGGGUAAAGGCCUACCAAGGCGACGAUCCGUAGCUGGUCUGAGAGGACGACCAGCCACACUGGGAGUGAGACACGGACCAGACUCCUACGGGAGGCAGCAGUGGGGAAUUUUGGACAAUGGGCGCAAGCCUGAUCCAGCAAUGCCGCGUGCGGGAAGAAGGCCUUCGGGUUGUAAACCGCUUUUGGCAGGAACGAAACGGUGUCCGCUAAUACCGGGCGCUAAUGACGGUACCUGCAGAAUAAGCACCGGCUAACUACGUG